ACGCUCACUUGGGCAGCACAGAUACUAAAAUUGGAAAGACAGAGAGAAGACUGGCCUGGCCCCUGUGCAAGGAUGACACCCAAAUUGGUGAAGCAUUACGUAUUUUU
ensembl:snRNA U6 U6 spliceosomal RNA